UACGAAGGGGGCGAGCGUUGUUCGGAAUUACUGGGCGUAAAGGGCGCGCAGGCGGCUCUGAAAGUCAGAUGUGAAAGCCCCGGGCUUAACCUGGGAAUUGCAUUUGAUACUCUGGAGCUUGAGUACGGGAGAGGAGAGUGGAAUUCCCAGUGUAGAGGUGAAAUUCGUAGAUAUUCGCAAGAACACCAGUGGCGAAGGCGGACUCACUGGCCCGAGUACUGACGCUGAGGCACGAAAGCGUGGGGAGCAAACAGG
rnacentral:rRNA from 1 species